rnacentral:rRNA from 1 species
CCGGCACGGGUGAGUAACACGUAUCCAACCUGCCGUCUACUCUUGGACAGCCUUCUGAAAGGAAGAUUAAUACAAGAUGGCAUCAUGAGUCCGCAUGUUCACAUGAUUAAAGGUAUUCCGGUAGACGAUGGGGAUGCGUUCCAUUAGAUAGUAGGCGGGGUAACGGCCCACCUAGUCUUCGAUGGAUAGGGGUUCUGAGAGGAAGGUCCCCCACAUUGGACUGAGACACGGCCCAA